GAUGAACGCUAGCUACAGGCUUAACACAUGCAAGUCGCGGGGCAGCAUGGGGGUUGCUUGCAAUCCCCGAUGGCGACCGGCGCACGGGUGAGUAACGCGUAUUCAACCUGCCCUUCACCACGGGAUAACCCGGCGAAAGUCGGACUAAUACCGUAUGUUGUCCAUUGACGGCAUCCGAUUUGGACGAAAGGCUUGGCGGUGAGGGAUGGGGAUGCGUCCGAUUAGCCAGACGGCGGGGUAACGGGCCACCGUGGCUACGAUCGGUAGGGGUUGUGAGAGGAAGGUCCCCCACACUGGAACUGAGACACGGUCCAGACUCCUACGGGCGGCAGCAGUGAGGAAUAGUGGUCAAUGGGCGUAAGCCUGAACCAGCCAAGUAGCGUGCAGGAUGACGGCCCUAUGGGUUGUAAACUGCUUUUAUGCGGGGAUAAAGUGGCCCACGGGUGGGCUUUUGCAGGUACCGCAUGAAUAAGGACCGGCUAAUUCCGUG
rnacentral:rRNA from 1 species